rnacentral:rRNA from 1 species
CUUAACCUACGGGGGGCAGCAGUGAGGAAUAUUGGUCAAUGGGCGAGAGCCUGAACCAGCCACGUCGCGUGAGGGAAGACGGUCCUAUGGAUUGUAAACCUCUUUUGUCGGGGAGCAAAAAGGCCUCGCGAGGCCACAAGUGAGAGUACCCGAAGAAAAAGCAUCGGCUAACUCCGUGCCAGCAGCCGCGGUAAUACGGAGGAUGCGAGCGCUAUCCGGAUUUAUUGGGUUUAAAGGGCGCGUAGACGGACUGGAAAGUCAGCGGUAAAAUCGAGAGGCUCAACCUCUUUCCGCCGUUGAAACUG